CACGUAGGCGGCUUGGUAAGUCAGGGGUGAAAUCCCACAGCCCAACUGUGGAACUGCCUUUGAUACUGCCAGGCUUGAGUACCGGAGAGGGUGGCGGAAUUCCAGGUGUAGGAGUGAAAUCCGUAGAUAUCUGGAGGAACACCGGUGGCGAAGGCGGCCACCUGGACGGUAACUGACGCUGAGGUGCGAAAGCGUGGGUAGCAAAACA
rnacentral:rRNA from 1 species